rnacentral:rRNA from 1 species
UACGUAGGAGGCGAGCGUUGUCCGGAGUUACUGGGCGUAAAGGGUGCGCAGGCGGCGGUGCGCGUGGCGAGAUGAAAUCUCCUGGCUUACCUGGGAGGGUGGUCGCCAGACGGCAUCGCUUGAGGGUCGGAGAGGGGCGUGGAAUUCCAGGUGUAGCGGUGAAAUGCGUAGAUAUCUGGAGGAACACCGGUGGCGAAGGCGGCAUCCUGGACCGGCAUUGACGCUGAGGAGCGAAAGCCAGGGGAGCAAACGGGG